UCCCUGGUGGCCCAGAGGUUAAGGACUCAGCAUUGUCACUGCUGUGGCCAGAGUUCAAUCCCUGACCUGGGAA
rnacentral:tRNA from 1 species